rnacentral:rRNA from 1 species
CCUAGGGGGGCAGCAGUGGGGAAUAUUGGACAAUGGGGGGAACCCUGAUCCAGCCAUGCCGCGUGUGUGAAGAAGGCCCUCGGGUUGUAAAGCACUUUCAGUGAGGAAGAACGCCUGGUGGUUAAUACCCAUCAGGAAAGACAUCACUCACAGAAGAAGCACCGGCUAACUCCGUGCCAGCAGCCGCGGUAAUACGGAGGGUGCGAGCGUUAAUCGGAAUUACUGGGCGUAAAGCGCGCGUAGGUGGCUUGAUAAGCCGGUUGUGAAAGCCCCGGGCUCAACCUGGGAACGGCAUCCGGAACUGUCAAGCUAGAGUGCAGGAGAGGAAGGUAGAAUUCCCGGUGUAGCGGUGAAAUGCGUAGAGAUCGGGAGGAAUACCAGUGGCGAAGGCGGCCUUCUGGACUGACACUGACACUGAGGUGCGAAAGCGUGGGUAGCAAACAGGAUUAGAUACCCCAGUAGUC